UUUUGGACCCUGGGACUGUUUUGAACGAUUUUUCUGAAACAUUCGCACUCCAAAUACAUUUGUCAACAAAAACAGGAGAGGGAAAGAAAGGAAGGGAAGAAAGUUUGAAAAAAAGCCCUCAUGUAUUCAUUUAAAAUCAAACCAUCAUCCCUUUUAAAGCUGCCUUUUCCUGGUACGAACAUCAGCCUGAUCCAAAGGGUAUUAACUCAAGAGAGUGUGUGAGGAUGCCCUGAGGAGUGACCACCUGAUUGCAGACAUGGCAGACAACAAGACAAAAAUCCUCCAGAGCUGGGAACUGGCUGUAGAUGAGCAUCCCUGGGAAGACGGGAGGAGUAGAGAACAUGUUUCAUGACUUUGAAGAACUGUGGGUACAUGCAGCAGAGUUUCACUAUACCUCUACAGCUGCUGCAUGCUGUAACCACAGACAUGGCAGUUCAAACCAUAGUGAAAAUAAAUGAUCUUUAAUGA